UACGGAGGGUGCAAACGUUGUUCGGAAUCAUUGGGCGUAAAGCGCACGUAGGUGGCUUGUUAAGUCGGGUGUGAAAUCCCUGGGCUCAACCCAGGAAGUGCACUCGAAACUGGCGAGCUUGAGUACUGAAGAGGGUCGCGGAAUUCCCGGUGUAGAGGUGAAAUUCGUAGAUAUCGGGAGGAACACCAGUGGCGAAGGCGGCGACCUGGGCAGAUACUGACGCUGAGGUGCGAAAGCGUGGGGAGCAAACAGG
rnacentral:rRNA from 1 species